CAUUUUCCUUUUUUAAGGGCAAGGAAAAAGUAGAAAGUGAGCAAAUGCUUUCCCAGCUAACGUAAUCUGCUGCUGGAUCUGCAGGUUUACAUUUUCUUUCGCAAUCAAAUGAAAUGUUGAGCCUUAGAGUUCCAUCAUCUCAAUUUCUAGUUGGAAGCUUAGUAAACACAGUCAAAUGACUUGUAAUAGUGGGAGAGCUGAAAAAAAAAAAAAAUCAUGUUAUAUUCUUCAUGGAAAAUCUCAGCUUUUCUAUGAGAAUAACUUGUGUAUUAUAGACUGUUUAAAUUUGGUUUCUUCCCUCUAAUCAAGUCCAGGAGCAAUUUUCGGAAACACAGUUGAAUUGACUGUUUCCUAACUGAAGAUUUUUUUUUUCCUAGUACCACCUGAAAGCUGUUUCUAAUUCAUGCUGAUAGGGGGUCAAUUUUUUUUUUUCUUUUGUGUAUCUCUCAGUCCAUAAAAAACCAUGACCACCUAAUUGUGUUAAAUUUUGUUAGUAUCAAUGGGUCCUCUGCAUCCAUCAGGAUUUCUCAAGAGGAGGAGAAAUUCCUUAAGAGUAAUAAACUGGUUGUGAUGUUCAGUGGAAAACUUAAUUUUUUUCCUAAUACCUGCUCCAGGUGGUUUUAUUUCCCUUGAGAAAUCAUGAAGUUGACAGGACAGUUGAGCCCCUAAUGUUCAUUUCAUAUCUGGAACUUGAGCCAUCUCUAAAUAUUUGCAUUUUGAACCAAGUUAGCUGUGAUCUUUCUUGCAGAGGAAAGUGCAAAACUAUUCCCAGUUUAACUGUACCUUCCUCUACCAGUUUAGUGUUUUGGGUCUCGAAACAAAAAUAUUGGAAGGCGACAUGGUUUUUAAAUCAACAGUGUCUGAAUCUUUCACACAUCAUCUACAGAUGUUGUUGCUCACAUAGUCUGUGUAGUAAUCUUAAAUAUUUCUUCCUCACUUCUUUCCUUUUUACUGCAAUGAACACCUGACUGGAUGUUUAGGGGCUCAUCUGCUAUCAACUCAGUGGUAUGUGAGGGGCUGAGGAUUGCUGGACCCUGGUGGUGUUUAGACUGAGGAUGCUUAAGAUGGAUGCUUCUUGUUUUGAGACUUGUUCUGCUGAAUGACUGGUAAACAGACAUCGAAACAGGCUACUACUUAUUCACACUGCCCCAUUGUUUGCUUCAUUUGGAUGUUCAUCAGUUAAAUAGGAUGUUCCUAUUUAAAUUUCCCUUCUUGAAAAGAAAGGGGAUGUUCAGUAAGUUAAUGUGUGGUGAGAAAGAACCAUGAGUAAUCUCCAGCCGUUCAUAAGAGCAUUUAAAUGAUGAAGUUUUUCUAGCAAGAUGUUGUGCAGCCUGCAAGGUAAAUUUGAUAUGCACACGUAAAAAUGUAAUUUAACACUUAGAAGAAAGCCUGAAGUAUUUAAUACUGUGACUUGUGACUUGCAAAUUUUAACUGAUGUCCUAGAUGAACUUAAUAUGUGACUUUUUACCCUUAAAAGAUAAAUUUGUUAUAUAAUAGUUUGCACAGAUGUCAAAUUUUUGCUGCUAACAGCUAGUUCAAUUGUUUCUAGUAAAUGGGGAUAUGAAGAAUUGCCUUAAGCACUUUAGGGUUUUUUUUGACUCUUCUUUUUUUUCUGAGCUAGUGUCUGUCCAGUACCAAUAUAUUGGUGAUGCUUUGUUGCAGUUGGUGCACUGUUUGUACCUGCAGCUAGAGAGGGAUGUGGCUGGUGAAGCUGUUAUUUUUUUCUAGGGGUCGUAGGGGUUGUUCUUUGGCAAUGGAUUAGACCUUUGAAUGUCUGUAGUUUUGCCCCGCAGUUAAUGCUAAAUAUGAUAUACCUGGUGACUUUAAUACUCCAUGAGCCUCUCUUCUCUGGAGUUGAUGCUGUCUGGUGGCUAGGCAGUAGUUUUCUGCUCUAUGACCAAAAUGAAUUUAAAACAAGUUCAGAAUGACUUGUGAGGAACUGAAGGUUUCCCUGGAGUUUUUAAUACAUCAGAAAAGUGUAACUUUAAUUGUUUAUGUAUAAAGCUGUAUGGACUGCAGCAAUGCCACUUCCAGAAAGCAUUUAAAAGCAUCUAGGUGAUAGGUGCUCCUCCAGAUACCAAAUCUAGAUGGCAGAGGGUAACGGGUUUAUUUCUUUAGCCAUCCUCUUAAGCAGAUAAAGUAGAGGCUAAUGUACAAAUCCUGUUUCCUCCUGCUUUGCACCCUCCCAUGUUACUGGGGUGGUGCAGUUAUAUGAAAUGCAGUUUCGUAUUAGGGUUGGGGCAACCAGUUCCCUCAGAAGGAAGAUCUGGCUCAGCAGUAUCUUAGUCUGAUGACAGUCACAGGUUAUGAAUGACGCCUAGUCUGAGCGACGACGGCAGCGAGUUGUGCUGAUCGCUGCCCGCCCAGCCUCAGCGGAACUCGGAUGCUCUAGAUGCCCUGUGGAAAGGGAAGGCUGGAUGUGUUUUUUCCUUCCGCACCAGGCCGAGCAGCGGCAUCCUCCAUUGCCUCCUCCUGCGGCGCCUGCCCCUGCGGCCGGCGCGGGGUUUACCCAGCCCUCCCUUGGCUCUACCUCAGGUCUUCUCCACCAGUGCUUCACCGCGGCCCUGCGCAGCGCGGCCGGGUAGGGCAGGAAGGCGGCCCCGGGCGUGGCCUGGCGGCCCGCGCGGUGUUUCGGUAUCUGUGACUUGUGUGAACGCGAGCUUUUUCCAUUAAAAGAGACACCUG
ensembl:lncRNA